rnacentral:lncRNA from 10 species
CUGGACUGCCUUCUGUUUGAAGACUGGUUGAUCUUCAGUCCACCUUUACUCCGAGGGUCCAGUCCCACUCUUGGCAGACUCUGGACUCCAACAUCUGUUUGCAUAGCCCCAUGAAGCCAUCCAAAGCCCAUGUGAGCCACUAGGAUCAAAAGGCUGCUGACUCUUUACCACAUCACUACUGCCACAGUUAGGAAGCCACCAAGACAAGGAAGGAAUCCAUCCAUAAUCAGAAACCUACCACCCUCAGAAGCCACAUCCGCUGUUGCCUGCUCCAGACCCCACUGUGCCUGCGAAGAUUUUCAGCUUCAAAGUGGAUGCCACGUGCCCUGCUCUCAGCACCUCAGAGCCAGCGACCAGAGCCCAAGACCUCAGCUAAUGCUGCCCAGAAACCUGAAUAUCUCCCCUGCUGGGCUUGGCAGCAAGAGCAGCAGAUGCCUGGUCCCUGCUGCAAUUCCCCCACAUUAGAGUGACUGAAUCUGCACCACAUCCUGACUCUGGUUGUAAAGGAGUCUGGGAAAUGUAGUUUUUAGCUUUCCUGUUUCUGUAGUAUAGGAAGGCACAGCAGAAAGCAGAUAGCAGAAGGCCUAGGUGGUCAAC